GACGGAAGGUGCAAGCGUUGCUCGGAAUCACUGGGCGUAAAGGGUGCGUAGGCGGGUCUUUUAAGUCAGGGGUGAAAUCCUGGAGCUCAACUCCAGAACUGCCUUUGAUACUGGUAAGCUCGAGUCCGGGAGAGGUGAGUGGAACUGCGAGUGUAGAGGUGAAAUUCGUAGAUAUCUGGAGGAACACCGGUGGCGAAGGCGGCAUCCUGGACCGGUAUUGACGCUGAGGCGCGAAAGCCAGGGGGGCAAACGGG
rnacentral:rRNA from 1 species